CAGUAGCGUAUAUUAAAGUUGUUGCGGUUUUAAAGCUCGUAGUUGGAUUUCUGCCGAGGACGACUGGUCCGCCCUCUGGGUGAGUAUCUAAUUCGGCCUGGGCAUCUUCUUGAAGAACGUAGCUGCACUUGACUGUGUGGUGCGGUAUCCAGGACUUUUACCUUGAGGAAAUUAGAGUGCUUCAAGCAGGCACACGCCUUGAAUACAUUAGCAUGGAAUAAUAAGAUAGGACUUCGGUUCUAUUUUGUUGGUUUCUAGAGCUGAAGUAAUGAUUAAUAGGGAUAGUUGGGGGCAUUCGUAUUUAACUGUCAGAGGUGAAAUUCUUGGAUUUGCUAAAGACGGACUACUGCGAAAGCAUUUGCCAAGGAUGUUUUCAUUGA
rnacentral:rRNA from 1 species